ACUGGUUUGUGUGCUUGGAACUGGCACAUUGGAAGUUUGAGCUGAGCUGAGCUGCUCUCUAUAAAAGAAGCCAAGAAGGCUUCACAUCCGCAAAGAUAGCUACUUAGCCACUGCAUAUCUUCCAGCUUUUGUCAUAGCCUUUUUUGUUUCUUCUCUUUUGGUACAAAUUCAGGGUCUGGAAUACUUGAAUCAGUGAGAAGAAAAAACAAGAUGUAUAACCCUCCAAGUGCCCAGGAGAUGACAUACAAAGAUCAUGUUCAGAGGCGCCAUGAGGAAAAAGGCUGCUUAUAUGCAUGCCUGUUUACACUGUGCUGCUGCUUCUGCUGCUACGAGACCUGCGAGUGCUGCCUCGAGACACUCUGCUGCUGCUGCUGACGUCGUCAUGACGAAGUGAUAUGCGGACUGUGACGUCCACUGGGACACUCAUCGUUGUCCAUCUGCUUUGUCUGAAUAAAAAAUGUAUCUAUGUACUUAAUUAAUUAUUUGAGUGCUGUAAAUCUGCAAUGCGUUGUGUUGAUGUGUUUAAUUACCUUUUCUUUUCUCUGCAAUGGAUGGAAACCUGGUGUAUUUGUAUGUUCAUCAAAUAAGUACUCUAUGCAGUGUUUUGGCUUGAACAAAAUGUUUGUCGAGGGUUUGGGCUAA